GCCCCACAGAUCACAGCAGGCCCCAUGGAUCACAGCAGCCCCACAGAUCACUGUAGGCUCCAUGGAUCACUGCAGGCCCCAUAGAUCUCAGCAGGCCCCACAGAUCACAGCAGGCCCCACAGAUCACGGCAGGCCCCACAGAUCUCAGCAGGCCCCAUAGGUCAUAGCAGGCCCCACGGAUCUCAGCAGCCCCACAGAUCUCAGCAGGCCCCGCAGAUCACAGCAGCCCCAUAGAUCUCAGCAGGCCCCACAGAUCACUGCAGGCCGCACAGACCUCAGCAGGCCCCAUGGCUCACUGCAGCCCCAUAGAUCUCAGUAAGCCCCACAGAUCUCAGCAGACCCAUAGAUCUCAGCAGGCCCCACAGAUCACUGUAGACCCCAUGGAUCACUGCAGGCCCCACAGAUCACAGCAGCCCCAUAGAUCUCAGCAGGCCCCAUAGAUCACUGCAGGCCGCACAGACCUCAGCAGCCCCACAGAUCACUGUAGACCCCAUGGAUCACUGCAGGCCCCACAGAUCACUGCAGGCCCCACAGAUCUCAGCAGCCCCAUGGAUCUCAGCAGCCCCACAGAUCACUGCAGGCCGCACAGACCUCAGCAGCCCCACAGAUCACUGCAGGCCCCACAGAUCACUGUAGACCCCAUGGAUCACUGCAGGCCCCACAGAUCGCAGCAGCCCCAUAGAUCUCAGCAGCCCCAUAGUUCACUGCAGGCCCCACAGAUCUCAGUAGGCCCCAUGGCUCACUGCAGCCCCACAGAUCUCAGCAGACCCACAGAUCUCAGCAGGCCCCAUAGAUUGCUGCAGGCCCCACAGAUCACUGUAGACCCCAUGGAUCACUGCAGGCCCCACAGAUCACAGCAGGCUCCAUGGAUCUCAGCAUCCCCACAGAUCACUGCAGGCCCCACAGAUCACUGUAGACCCCAUGGAUCACGGAGGCCCCACAGAUCACAGCAGCCCCAUAGAUCUCAGCAGCCCCAUGGAUCACAGCAGCCCCAUGGAUCACUGCAGGCCCCAUAGAUCUCAGCAGCCCCACAGAUCUCAGCAGCCCCAUGGAUCACUGCAGGCCCCACAGAUCUCGGCAGGCC
ensembl:lncRNA